AGAUUGAACGCUGGCGGCAGGCCUAACACAUGCAAGUCGAGCGGUAGAGAGGUGCUUGCACCUCUUGAGAGCGGCGGACGGGUGAGUAAAGCCUAGGAAUCUGCCUGGUAGUGGGGGAUAACGCUCGGAAACGGACGCUAAUACCGCAUACGUCCUACGGGAGAAAGCAGGGGACCUUCGGGCCUUGCGCUAUCAGAUGAGCCUAGGUCGGAUUAGCUAGUUGGUGAGGUAAUGGCUCACCAAGGCGACGAUCCGUAACUGGUCUGAGAGGAUGAUCAGUCACACUGGAACUGAGACACGGUCCAGACUCCUACGGGAGCAGCAGUGGGGAAUAUUGGACAAUGGGCGAAAGCCUGAUCCAGCCAUCGCCGCGUGAGUGA
rnacentral:rRNA from 1 species